GGGCUGUUCGCACAGUGGUAGUGCGCCCGCUUCGCAUGCGGGAGGUCGUGGUCGAUUCCCACAUAGUCCA